rnacentral:lncRNA from 1 species
CUCGCGGGGCAUGCUGGGAGCAGUAGCAUCUUAGCUGCUUCCGGCCGCUGGUCGCAGGGCUGCGGGACUACAAUCUUCGCAUGAAAUGGAAGAGAGGGUGGUGCGGAUAGCUUGAGGAAGGUCUCGCAUCUGGGGCUCGAUCUCGUGCAGAGGAGCAUUUCCGAAGACACUGGCCGCUCCCACAAUGGCUCCGAAGAACCCAGCGACCAGCGGGUUCAUGAGUUUGUUGGGGCUGUCCACUCGGUACCAGCUGCGCAGGGAUGUCAGGACAAAGAAACAAGUUGCCUGGUUCCAGCCCUGCUUCAGCACGGGGCCUGUGGGGCCCCGGUAAGUCCCGGUGUUCCCGCACAAUCUCCUAACCCUGUGGAAGAAUCCCCUGUACUUGGAUUUGGAGAGGUCUGGCCAUGGAUUAACUUCACCUUGAUGGUCUCCAUGGGACAUAGGACCACCACGGCCUCGGCCACGCUAGCUCACUGGCCGCACCGCUGCCCGCCUUGCUGUUCACCAGUCCCUGGGCAUCCCGCAUCUGGUUGCUGAGGAACGCCUGACGCCGCCUUGUGGAUGAAGCCGCAGAGCAGGGAGCUGAGGCUGCGGCCCAGGCCCAGGCUGCCUUGGCUGCGACUGUGUGCCUGCAGGCCCCAUGCCCGGUAUCCGGUGGAUGCGAGUGCUAGUCCAGCUGCAGCUGCAUCUUCACGAACUCGGUGGGGAACGGGAUGCAGAUUUUUUUUUUCUUUUCCUUCCUUCCUUCCUUCCUUCCAACUUCCUUCCUUCCUUCCCCUUUCUUUCUUUCUUUUUUUUUUUUUUUUUUUUUUGACAGAAUUUUGCUCUUGUCCCCCAGGCUGGAGUGCAGUGGCGCGAUCUUGGCUCACUACAACCUGGAUUCAAGCGAUUCUCCUGCCUCAGCCUCCCGAGUAGCUGGGAUUACAGGCAUGUGCCACCAUUCCCGGCUAAUUUUUUUGUCUUUUUAGUAGAGACGGUGUUUCCCCAUGUUGGUCAGGCUGGUCUCAAACGCCUGACUCAGAUGAUCCGCCCGCCUCGGCCACCCAAAGUGCUGAGAUUACAGGCUUGAACCACCGCGCCUGGCCCUGUGAUGUAGAUUUUGAUGCUGCCAGCCAGGCUGCCUGCCGGGAUCGCCUGCCCUGGAGCAGGAGCAUCAGCCGUGCGUUCCAGGACGCAGGCAUGGCAUGACCGGCAGGAGGCGGAGUGCCCGGCGUCUCUUGGGAUCGGAGCCUCCUGAAUUCCACGCUGGGACCUUAAUUUGGUUUUAACACAAAUAAAGAUCUCACAUAAAGAUAAAA